rnacentral:rRNA from 1 species
UAGGGAAUCUUCCACAAUGGACGAAAGUCUGAUGGAGCAACGCCGCGUGAGUGAAGAAGGGUUUCGGCCCGUAAAGCUCUGUUGGUAGUGAAGAAAGAUAGAGGUAGUAACUGGCCUUUAUUUGACGGUAAUUACUUAGAAAGUCACGGCUAACUACGUGCCAGCAGCCGCGGUAAUACGUAGGUGGCAAGCGUUGUCCGGAUUUAUUGGGCGUAAAGCGAGUGCAGGCGGUUCAAUAAGUCUGAUGUGAAAGCCUUCGGCUCAACCGGAGAAUUGCAUCAGAAACUGUUGAACUUGAGUGCAGAAGAGGAGAGUGGAACUCCAUGUGUAGCGGUGGAAUGCGUAGAUAUAUGGAAGAACACCAAAGGCGAAGGCAGUCUCCUGGGCAAAUACUGACGCUCAUAUGCGAAAGCGUGGGUAGCAAACAGGAUUAGAUACCCUGGUAGU